UUGAAGCUUUUUCCNACUGGCAAGAACUUC
rnacentral:piRNA from 1 species